AGCAGCCGCGGUAAUUCCAGCUCCAAUAGCGUAUAUUAAAGUUGUUGCAGUUAAAAAGCUCGUAGUUGAAUUUCGGGGUCAAUAAGUUGGUCAUGCCAAUGGUAUGCACUGGCUUUAUUGAUUCCUACCUCUUGACGAACUGUGAUGCCAUUAAUUUGGUGUUGCAAGGAAUCAGGACUGUUACCUUGAAAAAAUUAGAGUGUUUAAAGCAAGCUUACGCUUGAAUACAUUAGCAUGGAAUAAUGAAAUAGGACGUUUGAUCCUAUUUUGUUGGUUUCUAGGAUCGACGUAAUGAUUAAUAGGGAUAGUUGGGGGCAUUAGUAUUCAAUUGUCAGAGGUGAAAUUCUUGGAUUUAUUGAAGACUAACUACUGCGAAAGCAUUUGCCAAGGAUGUUUUCAUUAAUCAAGAACGAAAGUUAGGGGAUCGAAGACGAUCAGAUACCGUCGUAGUCUUAACCAUAAACUAUGCCGACUAGGGAUCGGAUGAUGUUAAUUUUUUAAUGACUCU
rnacentral:rRNA from 1 species